GACAGAGGCCUCAAGCGUUAGGCGGAAUCACUGGGCUUAAAGCGUGUGUAGGCGGAUCGUUAAGUGUCUUGUGAAAUCCCACGGCUCACCCGUGGAACUGCUGGGCAUACUGGCGAUCUUGGGCCAACUAGGGGCAGCCGGAACAAGCGGUGGAGCGGUGAAAUGCGUAGAGAUGUGGAGGAACACCGAUGGCGAAGGCAGCCCCCUGGGAUGAGACUGACGCUCAUGUACGAAAGCGUGGGGAGCAAACAGG
rnacentral:rRNA from 1 species